rnacentral:rRNA from 1 species
GACGAGGGAUCCUAGCGUUGUUCGGAAUUAUUGGGCGUAAAGAGGGCGUAGGUGGCUUUGUAAGUCGGGUGUGAAAGCCCAGGGCUCAACCCUGGAAGUGCACUCGAAACUGCAAAGCUUGAAUGUGGUAGAGGCUACUGGAAUACCUGGUGUAGUGGUGAAAUACGUAGAUAUCAGGUGGAACACCGGAGGCGAAGGCGGGUAGCUGGACCAACAUUGACACUGAGGCCCGAAAGUGCGGGGAUCAAACAGG